rnacentral:rRNA from 1 species
GACCCCCAGGUCAGGCGGGGGCUACCCUGCUUGACUUUUAANCAUUAUCAAU